CACAGCUGGCCCCAUCACCGCCUCCGAGUCGCCGCUCGGUCACCCAGCGCUCAGCUCCCUGGAGCUGCAGCAUCGUGCGUGUGCUGGAGCCUGAGAGACUUUGCACAACAACUUCGCCCUGGAAAUUUGGCAGCUCCAAGGACAGCAGAGUGGUUCAGAUUCCUUCCCCACACAAAGGGGGGGCAAGGACAAGGAGAACCCUAGGGAGCAGGGAGCUGAAAGCAAUUCUGGAGCAUCAGUGCCACUGCCUAAUGGCCUCAGGGCCCUGACUCAGCACAGCUGCCCUGACAGCGGCACGCUGGAGAGGAAGGUGG
rnacentral:lncRNA from 1 species